rnacentral:rRNA from 1 species
ACAUGCCUACAACAUAGCAUUAAUGCACCAGAUCCCAUUAGAACUCCACAGUUAAGCGUGCUCAGGCUAGAGUAGUAUUGGGAUGGGUGACCACUCGAGAAGUCCUAUUGUUUUACAUGCC